GGCGUGCCUAACACAUGCAAGUCGAACGCGAAAGUUUCUUCGGAAAUGAGUAGAGUGGCGCACGGGUGAGUAACGCGUGGAUUAUCUACCUAUUGGUACGGGACAACAGUUGGAAACGACUGCUAAUACCGUAUAAGCUGGUAACGGGAAAGGGGGCCUCUUCUUGAAAGCUCUCGCCAGUAGAUGAGUCCGCGUUUCAUUAGCUAGACGGUGGGGUAACGGCCUACCGUGGCAACGAUGAAUAGCAGGCCUGAGAGGGUGGCCUGCCACACUGGGACUGGAACACGGCCCAGACUCCUACGGGAGGCAGCAGUGGGGAAUAUUGCGCAAUGGACGAAAGUCUGACGCAGCGACGCCGCGUGGAGGAUGAAGGUUUUCGGAUCGUAAACUCCUGUCAAGAGGGAAGAAACCUAUCAAAAAUAAUACUUUUGGUAAUUGACGGUACCUCUAGAGGAAGCACCGGCUAAUUCAGUGCCAGCAGCCGCGGUAAUACUGAAGGUGCAAGCGUUAAUCGGAAUCACUGGGCGUAAAGCGCUCGUANGUGGCUUUGUAAGUCAGGUGUGAAA
rnacentral:rRNA from 1 species